UGGCGGCUCAGAUAUGCCAGUGGCAGGAGUAUAUCCCUACAAAGCCAAAAUUGAAACCGAUGCGAAGGUGGAUGGAGUAUGCACCGAUAGCGGCUCAAAUGCCCAGCUCCAUGUAGCCUGCCGAGGGGCAGGGGUGAAAGCUAGAUAGUGUUUCGAUGCCAUCGUGACCUGCAACGUUAAUGAAUAUUAACAAAUAUAACAUGUUGUUGAACAAUAAUAUUAGUAGAGCAUCAACAAAUAAAUGCU
rnacentral:lncRNA from 1 species